AGUAUCAUCACUAAUAUAAUGAAUGUUUUGAACAAAUAAGAAUCUCUAUAUAUGCAUGAAAGUUAAGAAGUAGCCAACUUUAUGUGAUCAAUAUAUUUGAUCAUGAGAGAGAUAAGAAAGAUAGAACAACCACAAAAUAACAUUGUUAUUAUUUACUUGACUAUUUGUUAGAUUUGCAAACUUUACAUAAAUAUUAUUAAAUAAAAAAUAUAAAGAGUAGAUAAAAUUAGUAAUUAAAUAAUGAUAGAAGAGACUAAUUUAAAAUUACGUAAUUAGUUUAAUUUGACAAGAGAAAAAGCACUUAUCAUGCUCUUGAGAUUUGCUAUCAACAAGAACUAAUUUUGAAAAAAUUAUAAUAAAUCAAAUAGUCAUUCAUAUCCAACAAACAACAUACAAUAUUAUGGAAGUGGUAUAAGAACUAGAGACUAACAAGGCAUAUUUAACAAUCAAUUCUUAUACAUGAUCAUUUGUCAUUGGUGCAAAUAAUGGAGCCAUAUGUUUAAGGAUUGUUCCAUG
rnacentral:lncRNA from 1 species